rnacentral:misc_RNA from 1 species
AACACCCUCAAGCUCUGCUUGGUGUUGGGCGUCUGUCCCGCCUCGCGCGCGGACUCGCCCCAAAAGCAUUGGCAGCGGUUUGCCAGCCCGUAGCGUAGCACUAUUGCGCCUGCGGUUUCGGCGGACCGGCGUCCAUCAAGUCACCCACA